UACGUAGGGUGCGAGCGUUGUCCGGAAUUAUUGGGCGUAAAGAGCUCGUAGGCGGUUUGUCACGUCGGAUGUGAAACCCCGGGGCUUAACUCCGGGCCUGCAUUCGAUACGGGCUGACUAGAGUUCGGCAGGGGAGACUGGAAUUCCUGGUGUAGCGGUGAAAUGCGUAGAGAUCAUGAGGAAGACCAGUGGCGAAGGCGGGUCUCUGGACAGUUCCUGACACUGAGGCACGAAGGCCAGGGGAGCAAACGGG
rnacentral:rRNA from 1 species